rnacentral:misc_RNA from 1 species
UCAUCAUUUCCUUCACCAAUCGAAGCUGUAGAUUUUGCAGCAGCAAUGGUGGAAACAACAGAAAGCUCUCUAUUACUCAUUGGCAUCACAACAAACUGUGCAGCUAACAAUGGACAUGAAGAAACACAUGGCUUCCAUAUGGGGUUGAAAAAUUGUUGAUUUACAACAGACAUCUUUUUGAGUUGUACCACUGUUUAACAUGAGUUGUUGAGCUAAAAUCUCUCUAAAAACUGCAACUUUGGAGGAUUGAAAAAGAGAAAUUGUGUGUUUCUG